CGACAAAGAUAAGACGGGCGCUGUCUGCGUAUUUUAUCCCUACUGGAGAAAACCUCAGAUUUUCUUUUUCUUCAUCCUGCUGGGAAAUGUUCUGAUGACAACCAUUUAAUUGAGUAGCCACAUGCCAUAAGAGGAAGAAUGAAAAAUCAAGUGAGAAGAGAAAUGACUUCAAAUCCAGCCUCAGACAGAGGGAUGCAACUGGGAAAAUCACUUUUCUCAUUUUCUUUAUUCAUCUGUACAAUAGAAAAUUGAAGGAAAAUAUGCGCUGGUCUGUUCUAGCCUCUCUCCCUCCUCAGCUAUGAUUGUCAAAUCACCAUGAAAUUGGUGCCAGAUUCCAAAGGAAAUCUUCGUCUCAGGCCAAAAUCCAAAGAAUCAAAAAACAAACAAACAAACAAAUAAACAAAACCAAAAUGGAACUUUGUUCUUUAUU
rnacentral:lncRNA from 1 species